rnacentral:rRNA from 1 species
UACGUAGGGCGCAAGCGUUAUCCGGAAUUAUUGGGCGUAAAGAGCUCGUAGGCGGUUUGUCGCGUCUGCCGUGAAAGUCCGGGGCUCAACUCCGGAUCUGCGGUGGGUACGGGCAGACUAGAGUGUUGUAGGGGAGACUGGAAUUCCUGGUGUAGCGGUGAAAUGCGCAGAUAUCAGGAGGAACACCGAUGGCGAAGGCAGGUCUCUGGGCAUUAACUGACGCUGAGGAGCGAAAGCAUGGGGAGCGAACAGG